GGUUCAAGAAACCUUGCCCAGCAACAUAAACUGUAUAAAAGGAAGCAAGAGAAAGGAUGACAUAGGGAAGAACCUGCCUUGCCACUGAAGCCUAUGCCUGUGCAUGCCAGGUUGGAUACCCCGCUCCCUCAAUGGAUAGGGACUGGCCAUGCCUAUCUGCAACACCCUUGAAAUUAUACUAAAAAAAAAAAUCCUUCAGUCUCUUGCUUCUUUUUUUUCCAAUGGAUCCCAGAGCACAACUUGGCCCUAAUCGAAUCUCAACAAGACCAAGAAAACAAAACCAGGCCUGAACUUGAAAUUGCAUCCUGACAGAAGACUGAGUUGAUGAUGGCCAUGCUGAAUAACUUGCCACCCCAGUAACACCAACCAGCUCUGGUAUCAAAUGUUGAUUCAGAGUCAAGGUUUCUUUCACUACCUUCAAAAUCUAUGUUAGGUUUGACCGAAGUUACCUAUGGGACUGCCUCAUCUUGUUUUAGAUAAAACAAAUAGUCAACCUCAACAGAAAGACUCACUGGUGGGAAAGACUAAUCCAUGGACUUGGAACUCACAUCCUAAAGAAACUAGGAUAUUCAUUAAACCUUACUUACUCCCAAGCAGAACAUACAUGGCAUGACUUUCAUUUGAUCUAAUAGGAACAGCAGCAAGCAAAUACCACACAUGAGCUUCAGGACAAGCAGACUAGAGGAGCAACAGAGAGCAAGACAGAGAUUUAAUUUGAUAUGCCAUUUAGAUGUCACACUAACAAGUGCUCUACAGCAAGAUUAGAUGGACAGAUAGACACAGAGAUCAGCCUGAAUAACUCUAUUUCAUUUCAGAAUAAUACUAUUAGCCAGUGGCAGAAGCACACAAAUAUAAGUUUAAAUAUGAUUACACAGUAUGAGGGAAAGAGAAUGAAAUGGUCAUUCACAAGAUACAAGACAUAGAAGUGUUUAGGUCAAUAUAAAAUGUGCUCUUUAAGAAAUCUGUUUUUGCACAAAUAUGAGAAUCAACACAAUAUGAAAACUUAAAAAAUUAAAUCUCAUUCUUUGCCUUAGAAAGGUUGUUGAUACAGGUUCAGUGGUGUGGAAAAGUGGUUAAUAAAUACAUGAUUUUGAUACAUAUUAGCCUGUCAAAAUAGCAAAAUAGCUAUAUGCAUAGAGUAUCUGAGACUAUUUAAAGGCUGAAACUGAGAGGCACUGAGUAAUUUUAUGAGAUAAAUGGUACGUAAUGUGUGACAGGAAUCUCAUUCCAUUUGGAAACAUGAAGAAAAAUCUGCAUGAAUAUCACUUUUCUAAUCAUGCAAAAUUGCCAGGUUGAUUUUUGAGUCAUUAUCCCUGUAAUCAGAUAAAAAGUUUUCAAAUACAAAUUGUUCCCGUUUACAGCCUCUUGAUCAUAGAAUGUCUAGACUAUUAUAACAAUACAUUAUGUUUAGACUAAAUACUUACACCAUCUGCACUGUAAGUGAGGGAAAAAAGAGUUUAGAAUACUGCUUCUCACAAAAUCGAGUGACAGUAUUCCACCGAGGCAGAACUUGGCUACAAACACAGGAUAGCAUCCUUUAGAAGUUAUUUUACUUACUCAUUAAUAUUGGCGGUGUAGUAGUUCCACACCACCCAGUUAACCAUUUUUUGCUUUUAUACAGGCAAAGCUCACUCUUUGACACAAAGAUUCAGCCACUCAGUACAGUGUGAAAGGCUGUUUCAACCCAUCAUUUCUGUUUCUGAAAUGUUUUUAAAUGAUGCCACAUGCCAGUGGCUUCUGAUUAAAGCUUGGGAGAACUGGCUACCAUUCUUCCUCUGUCCUCAAUUAAUUGAUUGUUGUUGAAAAAGGGAACAAGAAGUAUUUUUCUUUGAAAGAUCCAAUUUGUUCAGGUUUAGUGAUACAAGUGCUAUAUUUGAUUCUUUCAUGCCACCAGAGCAAAAAUAUUCAUAUACUUCAUGCUUUCUUUAUAUUCUUAUUUUGAAUCUAAUACACACAGAACAUAUUCUUACAAAUAAGUCUCAGUGGUAUAGAGACUGCAGGGCCCAGUAGAACUAUAAGCUACCUGUUAUACAUAAAGUGCCAAUUGUAUAAAUAUUAAACUAGAUGAAGGAUGCAUCUCUCUAAGACCCUUUUAAGAUUUCUUCCUUGUCUGCCAGAUAUCAGUCUGCCAAAUAAUGGUUCAAGUUCAGCAACUGUUCAGAUUCAGACAUCAGAGUAAUGGUAUCCACCACUGUUCCUGAGAAUUUGAUGCAGAGUCUAGCAUCAGCCAGCUCAUCACCAAAAUGGGUAGCAGUGACCAGGAAGAAAGAGAAAUCCAUCCUUCAGCCUGUCUGCACUAGCAGGGCUCUUAUAAAUGGACAAAGUUGCUCUGUAUUGCAGAUACUGAUGCUAUACAAAUAUCACUACCUUUUGAUGUGAACAUCCUACCUACUUCAGUAAGGCACUUGCCUUCCCACAAGUACUAAUAAGAAGGAAAUCAAACCCUUUACCCAUCACAACCAUUAGUUACAGGUGGAUGGAGUUUAGUAAUAAGCCUCACAACACUGAAUAUAAGUAGAAAGAUAUGUAAUAAUUCCAGUGGCCAGAUCUGAACCUGUUCUCAGUUUAUUUCUGAAUUGGACCCCAAACUGGAAGCAGCUAGACGUGUUGUUCUGCUUCAGGUGUGGCCAAAAACUUAAAAGAUAGUUUAUUUCUUCCAUUUGAGGAUGAAAUAUCAAGCAGCACCCAAUAUGCAAAUAUUCUCCCACUUCUGAAUUUGGGCCUAAACUCUAGCCCUAAUUCAGCCUUUGAACCCAAACCCUUCAGUCAAUCUCAGUAUUAAACCCAUCUGGGAUUGUAAGAAAGACAAAGGGUUAGAUAUUCUGUUUAUUUUUAUCUUGUUUAAAAGGACUAUAAUUCAUAAAGAAAUAGGUAAUAAAUCAAUAUUCUGUCAAUUACUAAAUAUGCAGCAAAUAUACACCAAGUCACCUCUGUUCAGAAUUAUCUAAUCAUCAUGUCUAUGUUAAGAUUAAAAUAUGAAAUACUAAUUAAGAUCUGUCAGGAAUAAAAACUAUAUGAAGAACUAUAAAAAUUGCAAUGUGUGAAAAUCUCUAGCCACAUACUUGCAAACUAUAAAUACGUUACUGAAAACUGCAGCAUUUGCCUUGCCAUAACAUCUUUCAUGUUCAAAGCUGUGAUUUCCUCAGCAUGUUCAGCAGCAAAUUGCCCUGUUUUGAAACUUAAUAAGUCAGUAUCACUUUGCUAUCUAUGGGUAUUAUGGAAAGGACCUAGAGAAUACUAACAGUAAGUGAACUUGGAGACAUCUGUCUGAGUACUAGUAAUUUCCACUAUUAUAUCAGCCAUUUCCAGAAAGAAGCUUUAGUUCCAAGAUCUGAAUAAUAUGGACUGCAUUUUACUGAGAACCUACAAAUAUCAAAGAGUAAAAUGUAUCUAAUUAAAUAGAUGAUUAGCAAUGCCCCCAUUUACUGGAACAAAAAGUAAAGGGAUUUAUUCUGUGAACUUUGUAACUGUAGUCUGAAGCUGAAUUCAUCAAGAACAUCUCAACCUUCCUCACUUUAAAAACAGGACACAUUCUGAAUCAUGCAUCUAAGGUUGUAAAAGAUUAAAGAUAAGCUUUUUUAUCCAGGUUUUCAGGAAGUUACAAAAAGUAUUGUUGUGCCUGUAUCUGAGUACCCACUAAGAGUGGUGCUUUUAUUGUUUGUUUUAAAAUGUAAAAACUUUCCUGUUUGUAAAUCAAUCAUCUAAAUAAAGGGUUUGAGUGUUUCAGAGA